AUGGAACAACCAGAUGGGUUUGUAGUAGAUGGUCAGGAAGGGAAAGUGUGCAAGUUGCUGAAGUCCUUGUAUGGACUCAAGCAAGCACCCAAACAGUGGCAUGAGAAGUUUGAAAGAACUUUAACAGUUGCAGGCUUUGUUGUGAAUGAAGCUGACAAAUGUGUGUACUAUCGCCAUGGUGGGGGCGAGGGAGUUAUGCUUUGCUUGUAUGUUGAUGACAUACUAAUUUUCGGAACAAAUCUGAAUGUUAUUAAGGAGGUCAAGGAUUUCCUAUCUCGCUGUUUUGAGAUGAAGGAUUUAGGAGUGGCUGAUGUCAUUCUGAACAUCAAUUUGUUGAGAGAUGAUGAUGGUGGGAUUACAUUGCUUCAAUCUCACUAUGUGGAAAAGAUCUUGAGUCGCUUUGGCUAUAGUGACUGCAAGCCCUCUCCAACACCAUAUGAUGCUAGCGUGCUGCUUCGAAAGAAUCGAAGAAUUGCUAGAGAUCAAUUGAAGUAUUCUCAGAUUAUUGGCUCGCUUAUGUACUUAGCAAGUGCUACAAGACCUGACAUCUCUUUUGCUGUUAGCAAACUAAGUCGGUUUGUUUCAAAACCAGGAGAUGUGCAUUGGAAAGCUCUAGAGAGAGUUUUGCGUUAUUUGAAAGGCACUGCGAAUUAUGGAAUUCACUACACUGGGCAUCCAAAGGUGCUUGAAGGGUAUAGUGACUCAAACUGGACCUCAGAUGCUGAUGAGAUAAAGGCCACGAGCGGUUAUGUAUUCACUCAUGGAGGUGGCGCUGUUUCUUGGAAGUCUUGCAAGCAGACCAUCUUAACGAGGUCAACAAUGGAAGCAGAACUCACAGCACUAGAUACAGCUACGGUUGAAGCAGAUUGGCUUCGCCAGCUCUUGAAUGACUUGCCGGUUGUUGAGAAACCUGUACCAGGUGUCCUUAUGAACUGCGACAAUCAAACUGUGAUCACGAAAGUGAGCAGCUCAAAGGAUAACAUGAAGUCAUCAAGACACGUUCAGAGAAGGUUAAAGUCUGUCAGGAAAAUGAAAAACUCCGGAGUUAUUGCGUUGGAUUAUAUCCAAACGUCUAAAAAUCUGGCAGAUCCUUUUACUAAGGGUCUAUCGCGUAAUGUGAUAGAUAAUGCAUCGAGGGAGAUGGGUAUGAGACCCACAAUAUGA
rnacentral:rRNA from 1 species